rnacentral:lncRNA from 10 species
AUAAAGAUGUUGACUCUUACCUGUGAUUUUGCAUGGCCAGACUCGGUGUCAGGUACAGAAAGGAUGGUCAUGACUGUCUUACCUCUACUGAAUAUUUUAGCGAGUUAUAUGAUUUACGGAGUGAUUAACAGAGGUCUACAUAAAGUUACUUUUCCCCUUUACUUAAUUAUAUUGUAGUGUGCAGAUAAAAAAACUACUACCUUCUCAUCCAAGUGGUCUGUAGAAUUCAUGUUCCUUACAGUGGUCAUUUAAAGUCAAUAUUUAUUUAUUUAUGUAUGUAAUAAAAAAAGUUGGAUUUUUGUGUAUGUCUGUCAUGUUAUUUAGAGAGAAGUAAUCUUGUAAAAAUGUUUUGUAAAAAACAAAAAAAUUGUAAAUAGUCUUGAUAUUCUGUGACUCAUUAUUUUUAUGUUAGAGUUUGUACAAACUGGUUCAAUAAUAAAGUAUCCAUAAACC